rnacentral:rRNA from 1 species
AGAUUAAGCCAUGCAUGUGUCAGUACAAACUAAAUGAAAGUGAAACCGCAAAUGGCUCAUUAUAUCAGCUAUGAUUCAUUGGAUCUUUCCCCCCAGUUUUCCUUGGAUAACUGUGGUAAUUCUAGAGCUAAUACAUGCACAUAUAAGCCCUAAUACCGCAAUGGGAUAGGGCGCUUUUAUUAGUAUCAAAACCGGUCUGGCUUCGGUCUGUAAAACCAGUUGUGAUGACUCUGGAUAAUUCAAGCUGAGCGCACGGUCUCUGCACUGGCGCUGCUUCUUUCAAGUGUCUGCCUUAUCAGCUAUUGAUUGUAGGUUAUGUGCCUACAAUGGCUAUAACGGGUAACGGGGAAUCAGGGUUCGAUUCCGGAGAGGGAGCCUGAGAAACGGCUACCACAUCCAAGGAAGGCAGCAGGCACGCAAAUUACCCACUCCCAGCUUGGGGAGGUAGUGACGAAAAAUAACGAUGCGAGACUCAUCCGAGGCCUCGCAAUCGGAAUGAGUACACUUUAAAUCCUUUAACAAGGAUCAAUUGGAGGGCAAGUCUGGUGCCAGCAGCCGCGGUAAUUCCAGCUCCAAUGGCGUAUAUUAAAGCUGUUGCGGUUAAAAAGCUCGUAGUUGGAUUUCAUGAUCGGACUGCAGGUUCGCCGUGAGGCGUUGUAAAACCUAUCUGAUUCCCUGGAAUGGCUAUCGCGACAGUUGUUGUGUAUAUGCCCACACUAGCCCAACAUGGGGUGUUCUUAAUUGGAUGCCCUGUGUAACUAGUAUGUUUACUUUGAUAAAAUUAGAGUGCUUAAAGCAGGCCAAGUGGAUGGCCGGAAUGUCUGUGCAUAGAACAAUACAAAAUGACCUCAGGUUUUAUUUUCACCGGCUAAAAUUUUGUGGAACCCCAGGUAAUGAUUAAUGGAGAUGAUAGAGGGCAUUGGUACUGUGACGCUAGAGGGAAAUUUU